rnacentral:rRNA from 1 species
UACGAGAGGGUGCGAGCGUUGUUCGGAAUUAUUGGGCGUAAAGGCGCGUAGGCGGCGCGACAAGUCACCUGUGAAACCUCUGGGCUUAACCCAGAGCCUGCAGGCGAAAACGUGUCGUGCUGGAGUAUGGGAGAGGUGCGUGGAAUUCCCGGUGUAGCGGUGGAAUGCGCAGAUAUCAGGAGGAACACCUAUAGCGAAGGCAGCUUGCUGGGACGUUACUGACGCUAAGGCGCGAAAGCGUGGGGAGCGAACAGG